GCAGUGUUUAAAAGCUAACCAUUCUGCGCAGGCUGGGUUCAUGGCCUCCAGAUUCCUCUUUUCUGGACGUGCCAGCAAUCUCCCUGUGGGCUCAUGCAAACCCCCGGAUCAGCAUCCCCCUUGAGACGGAGCUCCCACUUCCCCUUGUUGCACUGUUCCUAUACAUUUAUCUCCUUCUUGCACCAGGAGGGGCGGUGCCUCUGUCCCUCCCAGGGCUUUCCAUGGCAGCCCCGUGUUUCCACGCUGCCCGGCCGUGUGUUCUGGGGACACGUUGUGACACGCACAGUGGGUUUGCAGCCCCUCCAGCUCCUGCCCCACAUGCUGCCUGAGGACAAGCAGGGCAUGCACACUGGGACCAAGGCUCCUGCAGGAUGAUGUGUGUCCAUCCGUCCAACCUCUCCGCAUCACUUCUCCCCAGCAGCAGAGAUGCACUCACGUGGCUGGGACUGCGCUGUGCACAGCUGGGACAGCUGGGACAUGGUGAUACUGCCACGACGUGGGGACACGGCAACCCACCCCCCAGACAUGGAGCUGGGGACUGCCGGGGGGACAGCCCAGCAGGGUGUGGGGCAGGUGGGCUCAGAGACCUGCAGGGAGGAGAAGAGCCCAUGGUGAGCACCAGGCUGCAGCAUCUGGGAAACGUGUGUG
ensembl:lncRNA